GAACCUGCGAGGAUGGCAGCGGUGUCCAGCAGUGAAGACUGAAGGUGUCCACAGCUGUGAUAGGGGCUUCUGGGUCCUCUUGCUUGCUUUUCUUCACAGGAAGAAGUCCCUCCUAGCUCCUAGGGGGUUUGAUUGUGAGCGGCAAGGGUGUGGCAGAGAUUAUGCUCCAAGACACUGAAUCUGAAAGGAUGCAUCCAGUCUUGCCAAGUGGUUUCACUACCAAGGCCAGUCUCCAUCUAUGAUAGACCCAAGGAAGAUCAUUUACAACUAGAAUCUAGUCAUUUAGGAGAUUGUGUGCUCCCUGGAUGGGCCAUCUGCACUGGUGUGAGGUUUAUCUCAUUGAAGGGAAAACCAAAGGAAUCUUCUUGAAUAUCAGCACCAGGAAGAGCAGUACAAACUGGAGAAGCUGGGUGUCAGCCCAGAACGGGAACUAAAUAAGCACUCGUAGCUUGAAUGAAUAAACAAGCAGCUCCCACUUGGAUAGUAUUUCCACACAUCAGGACUUGAGAGGUCACACUACGCCAGUCCUGAUUCAGUGUAAGGGAUGACAGACCUACAAGAAUUACAGAAGGCUAAGAUUAUUAGAGCUCAUCUCAGUAGCUGGCUACCACAAUCAAGUAGAAGCAAUAUGCUGAUAAGACACUUGUGAAUAUGUAAGUCAUUCAUUGAAUCCAAAGUUUUCCUUAGCCACCUGAGAUAAUUGAAUUUGUUAUUAUUGUUUCAUACCCAAGCUUGGUAACUCCUUUUUUCUUCUUGGUCUUAGGGGCACCAUGUCUUCUCUUUCUUGGUUUCAGGUAUGACUUAUCAGGUUCAUGUUGAAAAUGCCUAUUUUUACAGACCCUAGAACACCAUCUGGUGGUUCUAGCCUCCAUAGGAUUCUGCUCAACCAUUUGUAAAUUUGUUCAGUUAACAAACAUUUAUUAAAUGCCUACUGUGUACUAGGGAUACAAUGUUGAACAAAAUAAACAAGCUCCCUAGUCUCAUGGAACAUAUUCUAGUGAAGGAAAACAAACAAUAAAAAAGAGACAAACAAAUAUGAAGAUAACAGACAAUGGUAAAUACUAGAAUGAAAAUAAAAUAGCUGGAUAGAUAAGGAAAGGCUAGCAAAGGUGUUUCAUUUAGGCUACGUGAUGAAAAAGGCUUCUCUGAGGAAGCAGAGUCCUAGAUAACAAAGAUGCAAAUAUUUGAGGGGAGAACAUUUCAGGCAGAAGAAAGUCAACACAAGGUCCCCGAGGGAAGAACAAGCUUGAUGUGUGUGAGGAAAAAAAAUAAGGUUCAAAGGCUGGAGCAGAGUGGGCAAGGGUAAGAGAAGAAUGAGAUGAGUGGGUAGUGGUCAUGUCUUGUGCAGAUAUAUAGACCAGGGUAACUGGUUUAGGUCUAAUCUCAAGGGUAACUGCAAGACAUUGAAAGGUCCUUUAUCUUAAAAUAAAUGCUCAUUUUCUUGUCUUCACUUCUUUCUUAUUUUCUUCUUUCCUACAGUACAGCUUCUCUAAAAUGGGUUCCUUUCUCCUUCCAGACACACAGAAGAAUUACAUUUCUCUACUCCCAUGCAGGCAGAUGGGGACAUCUGAGUACUAAUGGCCAACUGAUUAUGAGUAGAAGUAACACCAAAGCCUUUGUCUGUGAAAGAUCUGCAAUUCUCUCUUCUAUUGCAGCAAUGGAGGUCACAUACUUCAAAUGGUACACAGCUAGUAAGGUGGUAAAGCCUUCAUCAGACUGGGUCCUUGAGUGACUAUGUAACGGAUGCAAGAAACAAAACUUUUAUGUGUGUCUUAAACUGCUGAGAUUUUGGAGUUGUUAGUUAACAGAAUGUAGCCUAGACUAUUCUGAUUUUCAAAGUGUUCUUCCAUGAAAAAUAAGUUCUAAACUGAAUUGUUGGCAGUCAACCCAAAUCUUUCUUUUAUAGCCACUGCUGGUUGAUCCCAUAAUAUAAAUUAAUUCAUAAUUGUUUCUGACCUUCAGUUUCUUGGACAAUUCAAUUUAUUCUCCAGUUCUGUUCCCACCUUUAGUCACUAGAAGAUGCAGUGUUGUCACCACUUAUUAGUAAAUCACAAAACGAACAUUUAUAAAGUCCAUGUUUUCUUAUUCAGAGGAGGGAAUGGGGUUCAUUACUUAAGUCUGGGGAAAAGAAGAGAUAUCUUGUAUGGGUUAAUCCGACCAUGAGCUCCGAUUAACCCAUACAUGAGCCUUCCCUGCCACAUUGAGAUGAUCCUUACUGAAAAGGAACAGAUUGUUCCUAAACCAGAAGAGGAGGUUGCCCAGAAGAAAAAGAUAUCCCAGAAGAAACCGAAGAAACAAAAACUUAUGGCACGGGAGUAAAUUCAGCAUUAAAAUAAAUGUAAUUAAAAGGAAAAAAAAAGAAGAGAUAUCUUGUUCACAAACUGCUGCCAUCCAGAUGUUGGGAAAAAUUUCAGAAGGGGAAGUAAGACAUAGAGAAGCCAACUCUGUUCUAUACUUGAGAUGAUACAUAGCACCCAACAGGGAAAAUAGAAUUGCUUAUCGUUUAUAUUUUCCCUGUCAGAGCCAUUCAUAAUGACACACAUUUAAUUUUUGCUAAGUUCCUCAAGGUUCAUUUCAUUCAUUAUAUUUGUUUAAAAAGCACUAUCAGUAAAGAAAAUCUUCUUCAUCUGUGUUACAUGGCAGCUUGAUGCUUCUGCCAGCAGUAUAUUUUUUAUGGGAAUUCCAAGCAAUGCAAACAAGAUUUAAUUUCUUUCAAACGUCCUUCUUGGCUCAUACCAAUUCAUCCAGGCACGGCAUUCUUUAAGCCAUUUCCAAUUUCUCUGAUCAAACAGGCUGGACUACUACCUGGGGGUUUUGGCUCCAUCCAAGAAACCUGCUUUACCAAACCAUCUGUUGAAGCUCCUGGAUUCCUUCUAUUUAGUAAGACUCACAUGUCAUAUGGUAUACAUUUUCACCUUCUGAACUGUGUCCUAGACAUCUUACUGGAACAACUUACCUCAAUCACACAUGAUCUUUCCAAAGAUAUUUUCUUAUCCUAAAAGCUCAAAUAAUAUUUCAUAUUAUAGCAGAACUGUUCAAAAAUUCACCCAUGAAGAAGACAUUAAAAUAAGAGCUCCCCUUUCAGUUUGGGUUUUAUGUUCUAAGACUGGGUAGUAUUGAAAAGAUGGUGGGUAACAAAGAAAUAUACAAGUUAUUAAAUGUUUCAGGUAAAGCCAACCUAGAAUUAUCUGAGAAUCAUUCACAAGUAGCAAGUUUAUGAAGGGCUUUUGAUGUACACAAGCCAAGUGCCUACAGGAAAAUAUCUCAAAAUCCUAGAGAGUCUCCUCUUCCUUCACAGAACAAACUUCAUUAAUCUUCUCCAUUUAUGAGGGCAGUAAUAAUGGAGCCAAGACAGAGGCCUGGUCUCUAUUCUAGGCCAGUUAACUUUCCUAAGUUACAUGGCCAAAAAUAGGAACACUGACCCCUCAUUAAUCAUGUAAAAAGCAGUAUUUGUUCAGCACAUACUUUAUGUACAGCAUAGGCAUUUUGCACACUUAUUUUUGGUCCCAAAGUUGAACUUAAGGGAAUAAAUAGGUGAAAUAAUAAAUAACCAUAAUUUGGUAAAUCUUUCAAAAUCACCCUUACCUUCUUGAGGGCCUCCCUUGUACCAGGCAUUUUCAUAGAAGAUGUCCCAUUUAAUCCUUAGAACUCUGUAAAGCAGUUUUUUUUCCCCAUUUAGUGGAUGAGAAAAACUGAAGCUCAGAAUCACAAAAUGGUCUACUUAGCUGACAUCAUAUAGAUGGUAAGUUCAGAGUUAGAACCUAAACCCAGAUCCUGAGCUUCUUCCCUUCCUAUCUGGUGCUUUUCCAAGCCUGCGAGGGAAGAGAAGACCACAGUUAAUACUUGAAACAUAUCUUAUUUGAAUACCAAAAGCAGUAAAUUCCAGGUAAAGGUUGUUUCCCGUCAUUCAUCUUUGUGAGUUCUUAGCUAAGUAAAUAUUAUUUAACCCAGUAAAGUUUUGAUUGUCAAAUCAUAUCAAUAGUAACAAAUAUAAUAUUUCUAACUAAUAUGUUGGUUAUAUUUUUGAAAUAUAUAAAUGUAUUAUGAAACUGCAAAUUAUUAAAAUAUAGACUUCUCAAAUGUGAUCAAUUAGGGUAGUUGAUUGGUUAAUAGAGAAUCAGAUACUCAUAAUUAUUAAAAUAUAUAAUAGACUUCUCAAAUGUGAUCAACUAGGGUAGUUGAUUGGCUAAUUGAGAAUCAGAUACUCAUUAGAUUUAGAGAAGAUACUCAUUAAACAUUAUAUUUACUUAAACUUUUAUUUUAACUAAAAUAUAUUAACAAAUGUUCAUUCACACAUCUUUUCUUGUGCAUCCAAAACCUUCUUUAAAGUACAAGUUUUUGUACACUGGCAAUGAACAAUCCAAAAAAGAAAUUAAGAAAGCAGGCCGGGCGUGGUGGCUCACACCUGUAAUCCCAGAACUUUGGGAGGCCGAGGUGGGCAG
rnacentral:lncRNA from 1 species